rnacentral:lncRNA from 1 species
AAGCAUCCACCGCACUUAAUUAAGAAAACGGUUAAAGCACCAAAAUUUAGAAGAAACCAAUUCACCCCCCCCCCCCUCUUGGCUUGUCACCUUGGGCAACAUGUGUCCAUGCUACAGUGCCUACUUCAUGUUAUAAGAUUAAGUAGGAUCGUUUUAUCCAAAUCCUGACAGUGUUUUCCAGCUUCGCUAAUAAAAUAUCUGGAAGAGUUUGCUUAAGUUACAUGCAACGAUAAGCUUGUUGAUUAGCAAGCAUACUUUCAUCUAGAAAACAAAAACUCGAUUUCAGUUACUAAACUUGUCUAACAUACACCACAUUAUAAUUGAAGGGUAUAAUUAAGGGACAUUGACCAUAUUGGGAAUAAAACCAUACACUAUUGAGUCACCUCCGAGAUGCUUGCCGAGUACGAUGAGCUACGCUUGUGGAGCUGGAGCCAGGAAUCUGCAAAGAUCAAGUAAACAUAUGCUCAUAGUAGUACUACAUGAUGGGGACAUCAGAGCCCUUCAUCCAGAUGAUCCUGAGCCCCCGGAUUGAGCCAGACUCGUUUAUUUGCAUAUUUAUUUUAUUAUUUUAUUUUUGGGCUUAUUUGCAUUCUAGGGUUUAUUUGUGGUUUAUUUUAUUUCUGAGCUUAUUUGUGUUAUUUGUGGGUUCAUUAGGAUUUAUUUCUGUGUAAGGGGGGUUUAUGCAAGUUGUGUAUUUGGGCCCUAUAUAUAGGGAACUAUUUUCAUGAUUAGGGUUUAAUGAAUGAUUAAGAAUUUCUUUUCCUCCCAGAUCUUAUUCUUCCUCCUCCUCCUCCCCUUCUCUUCUUCCUGUGUCUCUAGAACCUCUUCUUCCUUCUUUCUCUCUUGUUCUUCCUUCUUCUCCUCUUUUUCCGCAUUUGUGCGGCAUCACUACAUCGCACAACAAACUAAUGAUCAGAGUUUCAGAUAGUACUAUAAGAAGCUUAAUGCCAAGGAAUAGCAUAAGUACGUUGAUCUUCCAAGUUUAACAAUCUUCAAUCUAUUAAACG